rnacentral:misc_RNA from 1 species
CAACCAUCAAGCCCCUGCGCUUGUGUUGGAGCCCUGCGGCUGCCGCAGGCUCCCAAACCCAGUGGCGGGCUCGUCGUCGUACCGAGUGCAGUAAACUUACCACGCUCAGGGCACGCGACGGGUGACCGGCCGUAAAACCCCCCACUUUCUCAA